AUGCGUAGGGGGCGAGCGUUGUCCGGAAUGAUUGGGCGUAAAGGGCGCGUAGGCGGCCCGGUAAGUCUGGAGUGAAAGUCCUGUUUUUAAGAUGGGAAUUGCUUUGGAUACUGUCGGGCUUGAGUGCAGGAGAGGUAAGUGGAAUUCCCAGUGUAGCGGUGAAAUGCGUAGAGAUUGGGAGGAACACCAGUGGCGAAGGCGACUUACUGGACUGUAACUGACGCUGAGGCGCGAAAGUGUGGGGAGCAAACAGGAUUAGAUACCCUGGUAGUCCACACCGUAAACGAUGAAUGCUAGGUGUAGGGGGUAUCGACCCCUUCUGUGCCGCAGUCAACACAAUAAGCAUUCCGCCUGGGGAGUACGGCCGCAAGGUUGAAACUCAAAGGAAUUGACGGGG
rnacentral:rRNA from 1 species